rfam:Salmo salar isolate Sally breed double haploid chromosome ssa19, whole genome shotgun sequence.
GCUAUUUAUGACUGUAAGUCACUCUAGAUAAGAGCGUCUGCUAAAUGACUCAAA